rnacentral:rRNA from 1 species
GGUCAAUGGAGGGAACUCUGAACCAGCCAUCCCGCGUGUCAGAUGAAGGUCCUCUGGAUUGUAAAUGACUUUUCUACGGGAAGAAUGAGCCGUCUGCGGACGGAAGUUGACGGUACCGUAGGAAUAAGCACCGGCUAACUACGUGCCAGCAGCCGCGGUAAUACGUAGGGUGCAAGCGUUGUCCGGAUUUACUGGGGUUUAAAGGGGUACGUAGGCGGUUGUGCCAAGUCUGGGGUGAAAGUUUGCAGCUCAACUGUAAAAUUGCCUUGGAUACUGGUCGGCUAGAGUAGUGGAGCGGUGGCUGGAAUUUAUAGUGUAGCGGUGAAAUGCUUAGAUACUAUGAGGAACACCAAUUGCGAAGGCAGGUCACUGGUCACUAACUGACGCUGAGGUACGAAAGUGUGGGGAUCAAACAGGAUUAGAUACCCUGGUAG